rnacentral:rRNA from 1 species
UACUACAUGGAUAACUGUAGUAAUUCUAGAGCUAAUACGUGCCUCGAUGCCCUGAUCCGCAAGGUGAGGGGUGCACUUAUUAGAUUACAGACCAAACGGCGCAAGCCGUAGUUUGUGGUGACUCUGGAUAACUUUGUAUGAUCGCAGCUGGCCUUGUUGUCGGCGACGGAUCCAUCAAAUAUCUGCCCUAUCAACUUUCGAUGGUAGGAGACAUGCCUACCAUGGUUAUGACGGGUAACGGGGAAUCAGGGUUCGAUUCCGGAGAGGGAGCCUGAGAAACGGCUACCACAUCCAAGGAAGGCAGCAGGCGCGUAAAUUACCCACUCUCUGAACGAGGAGGUAGUGAAGAUAAAUAUCGAUACAGAACUCAAAUGAGGCUCUGUAAUCGAAAUGAGUGCAAUAUAAAUCCUACAACGAGGAUCUAUUGGAGGGCAAGUCUGGUGCCAGCAGCCGCGGUAACUCCAGCUCCAAUAGCGUAUAUUAAAGUUGCUGCAGUUAAAAAGCUCGUAGUUGGAUCUGGGCCAUGUAGUGACUGUCGGUUUUGCCUUAUCAUAUUUCGGUAUGAUAGGGUGGGCCGGUAUCUUCACUCAUGGCUUCGCAGCUGUGUCCAUUUGCUCUCGGGCAUUUGGAUGAUAUUGGGUGUUAGCUUUUGCCCCUUAUGGGGGGCGAUGGCAGCUCAG